UACGUAGGUGGCAAGCGUUGUCCGGAAUUAUUGGGCGUAAAGCGCGCGCAGGCGGUCUUUUAAGUCUGAUGUUGAAAGCCCACGGCUCAACCGUGGAGGGUCAUUGGAAACUGGGAGACUUGAGUGCAGAAGAGAAGAGUGGAAUUCCAUGUGUAGCGGUGAAAUGCGUAGAGAUAUGGAGGAACACCAGUGGCGAAGGCGACUCUUUGGUCUGUAACUGACGCUGAGGCGCGAAAAGCGUGGGGAGCAAACAGGAUUAGAUA
rnacentral:rRNA from 1 species